rnacentral:rRNA from 1 species
GAGUUUGAUCGUGGCUCAGAUUGAACGCUGGCGGCAUGCCUUACACAUGCAAGUCGAACGGCAGCGCGGGAGCAAUCCUGGCGGCGAGUGGCGAACGGGUGAGUAAUACAUCGGAACGUGCCCAAUCGUGGGGGAUAACGCAGCGAAAGCUGUGCUAAUACCGCAUACGAUCUACGGAUGAAAGCAGGGGACCGCAAGGCCUUGCGCGAAUGGAGCGGCCGAUGGCAGAUUAGGUAGUUGGUGAGGUAAAGGCUCACCAAGCUGACGAUCUGUAGCUGGUCUGAGAGGACGACCAGCCACACUGGGACUGAGACACGGCCCAGACUCCUACGGGAGGCAGCAGUGGGGAAUUUUGGACAAUGGGCGCAAGCCUGAUCCAGCCAUGCCGCGUGCAGGAUGAAGGCCUUCGGUU